rnacentral:rRNA from 1 species
CCUACGGGUGGCAGCAGUAGGGAAUUUUCGUCAAUGGGCGCAAGCCUGAACGAGCAAUGCCGCGUGAACGAGGAAGGUCUUCGGAUCGUAAAGUUCUGUUGAAGGGGAAAAAGAGCGGAGAGAGGAAAUGGUCUCCGAUUGAUAUUACCCUUCGAGGAAGUCACGGCUAACUACGUGCCAGCAGCCGCGGUAAUACGUAGGUGGCGAGCGUUAUCCGGAAUGAUUGGGCGUAAAGGGUGCGUAGGCGGCCUGCUAAGUCUGGAGUGAAAGGUACCGGCUCAACCGGUACAGGCUCUGGAAACUGGCAGGCUAGAGAGCAGGUGAGGGCGGUGGAACUCGAUGUGUAGCGGUAAAAUGCGUAGAUAUAUGGAAGAACACCAGUGGCGAAGGCAGCCGCCUGACCUGUUACUGACGCUGAGGCACGAAAGCGUGGGGAGCAAAUAGGAUUAGAUACCCCUGUAGUC